GAUGAACGCUGGCGGCGUGCCUAAUACAUGCCAGUCGAGCGAACGGACGAGAAGCUUGCUUCUCUGAUGUUAGCGGCGGACGGGUGAGUAACACGUGGAUAACCUACCUAUAAGACUGGGAUAACUUCGGGAAACCGGAGCUAAUACCGGAUAAUAUUUUGAACCGCAUGGUUCAAAAGUGAAAGACGGUCUUGCUGUCACCUAUAGAUGGAUCCGCGCUGCAUUAGCUAGUUGGUAAGGUAACGGCUUACCAAGGCAACGAUGCAUAGCCGACCUGAGAGGGUGAUCGGCCACACUGGAACUGAGACACGGUCCAGACUCCUGCGGGAGGCAGCAGUAGGGAAUCUUCCGCAAUGGGCGAAAGCCUGACGGAGCAACGCCGCGUGAGUGAUGAAGGUCUUCGGAUCGUAAAACUCUGUUAUUAGGGAAGAACAUAUGUGUAAGUAACUGUGCACAUCUUGACGGUACCUAAUCAGAAAGCCACGGCUAACUACGUG
rnacentral:rRNA from 1 species